rnacentral:ncRNA from 1 species
CCUCUCGCUUCUCGCUAAAAAGUUUAUGUAAUUGUACGAAAAUUUUAAAGAGAUUGUUUGACAUUUCGAUGUUUAUUCAAUUUAAUUUAUUUAUAUUUUGAGUUGAUAUAACUCUCAAUACUGAGGUAUGAUCCAAUUCAUGGAUAUUGUCAGGAAGGGAGUUGGACCGGGACUCAAAUAAUAACGGAGGCGUCCCAAGAUCAACUCAGCGCGGACAGAAACCACACUUAGAGAAAAAGAGCAAAAGCUGAGUUCAUCUCGGUGUUCAGUACACGCCGGGACAGCAUAAUCUCGGCCUAUCGAUUCCUUUGGUUCAAGUAAUUUUUAACUAGAGGCGUCAGAA